CCCCUCUUCGGGGUUGCACCUGGAGAGUUUCCAGGACUCUACCAGUCUCGGCUACGGGAGGGAGAGUCAAGCAGAGGCCUGUCCAUUCCAUUCCUAGCUUGGGCAGUGGCUAGCAAGCGGAAGGCCAUCUGCUACAAGU
rnacentral:snoRNA from 1 species